rnacentral:rRNA from 1 species
UACGUAGGGGGCUAGCGUUGUCCGGAAUCAUUGGGCGUAAAGCGCGCGUAGGCGGCCCGGUAAGUCCGCUGUGAAAGUCCAGGGCUCAACCCUGGGAUGCCGGUGGAUACUGUCGGGCUCGAGUCCGGAAGAGGCGAGUGGAAUUCCUGGUGUAGCGGUGAAAUGCGCAGAUAUCAGGAAGAACACCCGUGGCGAAGGCGGCUCUCUGGGACGGUACUGACGCUGAGACGCGAAAGCGUGGGGAGCGAACAGG